UUCUUCAACUAAUGGCGCCAUGGCAACUCCACGAUUUUGCCUUUCCACGUUUCCAUGCCAUCCUAUAAAACAACAAAUAACUUUUAUUUAGCUUAUCAUUUUU